ACAAAAUGUGUUGUGAGUUAUUUGUUGUUCUAUUUGAUUGAUUUCGGUGGCUCCUACUAUCUAGUUGGAUUUGGUUGUAAGCCUUCUUAAUUUAUUUCUUGAAAGGGAUGUCACGCACAUGUUUACUUUUAUGGUUAGUAGGUUUUAAAUUUGUAAUAAUAUGACAAAUUAGAAGUAAAUAGUCGUUGUCAUAUUGUUUUCAAUUUUUGUACCAAUUUUGUAAUACUCUAAGUUAUUUGGCACAUCAUAAAUUUGGAGAGAUUCAUUUAGGUGACAUUAUUUUGGUGUUUUAAUGUACUUUGUAAGAGUUAGUAGAAUUAAUAUUAUGUCUCCCAAA
rnacentral:lncRNA from 1 species